rnacentral:lncRNA from 1 species
CGCAAACUAUUGUUUCUUUUAUAAAAAUAAUUAGGAUUUACCUGCACUUUUAGUGGUAGGCUUUAGCAGCCUAAAGUUGUGUUUGUAAUUUUGUAUCAAGUUUUGAUCACUUUUACAUGCUCUUUGGUGGGUCAGUAGCAGUAGUGGUUUAAUUAGUUUCCUAUCCCCUAUAUAAUUAAACAGGAAUUUUGAGUGGAUUGGAACCCGACCCAGAUAAAAUGUUUUAUGGAGGAAGAGCGUUGAUUCAUCUAUUCGUAUAUUUGUAUGUGUCACUUUCCAUUCCUGAACUCAACAAAGUUAAAAUGACUUGAUCUGUAGAAAAACUUUGAAUCGUCGGAAGAAAAAAUAUUAUCAUGUUUAAAGAUUGAAAAGCAGUCCGACUAGAGUAGUUUGGAUUGAGAGGACUUAAAAAAGUAUUAAAUCCGUCGAAUAAAUUAAAAACCCGUUUAAAAACGGGUUGAAAUUUAUUUCCAACAUUUAAGGUUCGAGUUUGUACGAUUUAAUUUUUCGAUUAUAUAUUAUUACAAAAAUUUGAGGAAUCGGAAACAAUUGAGAUUUGAAGAUCGUCCCCAAAAGCUGAAAAAUCAUUCCAGUCAUCCUCUAAAAUCGCGUUUCUGAAAAUUUUUAACGACGAGUGUUGACAAAUCGUCCCUGCAACUCAGAAUGACAUUCGACAAUAGUUCCGAAACUCAUAAAAGAGUGUGGAACUUUAUGGAGACGUUUUUCGUCCCUAAAUUACUAUUAUUUGAAGACUAUUGACGUCUCCAUACAAAAUUUUGUGGAUUACAUAUGUCUCCAAAAAUGCCACGGGAUUAGGUCAGCAACAAAUUUAAGAUUUUUUUCCGAGAUAUUUAUUUAUAAUAUAAAUAAAAAAUUAUCAAGGAGUUUG